rnacentral:rRNA from 1 species
GACGAACGCUGGCGGCGUGCUUAACACAUGCAAGUCGAACGGAAAGGCCCUGCUUUUGUGGGGUGCUCGAGUGGCGAACGGGUGAGUAACACGUGAGUAACCUGCCCUUGACUUUGGGAUAACUUCAGGAAACUGGGGCUAAUACCGGAUAGGAUCUCCUGCUGCAUGGUGGGGGUUGGAAAGUUUCGGCGGUUGGGGAUGGACUCGCGGCUUAUCAGCUUGUUGGUGGGGUAGUGGCUUACCAAGGCUUUGACGGGUAGCCGGCCUGAGAGGGUGACCGGCCACAUGGGGACUGAGAGACGGCCCAGACUCCUACGGGAGGCAGAAGUGGGGAAUAUUGCACAAUGGGCGGAAGCCUGAUGCAGCGACGCCGCGUGCGGGAUGACGGCCUUCGGGUUGUAAACCGCUUUCGCCUGUGACGAAGCGUGAGUGACGGUAAUGGGUAAAGAAGCACCGGCUAACUACGUG